GUGUGCUACUGCUACUACUAUGCAUCUGCAACUACUGCCACUACUAUGCGUUGUGUGCUGCUACUACUAUAACGGACAGUAGUUGAUCCGUGAUCUGUACGGAUCACCCGCCCCCCAUGGUUCGGCACCCAAGUGAACCGCGGAUCAAUUGCAAAGUUUUCCCAUCAUAGUGUGAAAUACAGUUUUUGUCUGCCGCUGUAACUUUUUAAAAGUAAUAAUUCCCUAAAUCUCGAUGCAGAGUUGCUGUGAGAAGAGACAAGACCGAUGCGUGUUUUGUUUUACUCUGAAGCCUGAAAGUUGAUUUGACUUUUAUUUUGUAUUUUUAAAGCAGUUGUGUGUACUGUUCAUGUGAACGGGCCUGCAGGUAGCCUCGUGGUUAGAGCGUUGGGACUUGUAAAUGAAAGGUUGCCAGAUUGAAUCCCUGACAAGGUAAAAUUCUGCCCCUGUACAAGGCAGUUAACCCGCUGUUCCUAGGCAGUCAUUGACAAUAAUAAUUUGUUCUUAACUGACUUGCCUAGUUAAAUAAAGGUAAAAUAAAAAUGUUGAAUCCCAACGAAUCAAUCCUGGAUGCUCGCGUUCCAUAAAGCAAAGAAGAAGAAAAGAGCAAUGACAGCCAAGGCUAGCAGAGGAGGUGAAGAACUGGAAAAGCCUCCCGCUUCAUUUAAGUCUCAUGUAUGGGAGCAGUUUGGCUUCCCUGUCAAAUAUGAUGACAGAAGAAGGGUGGUGGACAACACCAUUACGGUGUGUAGUUAUUGUGCCACAAACUGUAUGAUCAUGGAAAUGCAUGUUCAAAGCGUCAUCACCCUGGUGUGUCAGUGACUGCAGCCAACUCAGCCAAGAGACAACUUCUCACCGCGGCAUUUAAGCGCUUUGCUGCAGAAUCAUACCGGGCUGAAGCCAUCACAAUCUAUUGGGAUGUUUAUCACUGUAGACAUGAGGCCAUACUCUGUUGUGGAAAACAAAGGGUUUAAACAUUUGGUGAAAGUGCUUGAGCCGUGCUACAAAAUCCCCUCGCGUACCCACUUCAGUAUGAAGAUUGUGCCAGAUCUUUAUGAAAAGGGAAAUAUCCAAAUUGAGCACUGAAACUUCAUCUGUGUCCAUGAUCCAACCUCUGAGAACAAGGAUUCUACAAUCCAUGGCCCCAAGUGAGGAAGACAGCACCAUCACUAGAGAUGUCAAGGUUGCCAUUAGAGAUGACCUGAACCCCAGAUACACCCCCCCCCCCCCCCCCCCAAUGUACAGGACUACCUUCAUAGAUCUACUGCACUGGAUCCAAGGUUCCAGUCCCGGUCUGUUCAAGUCUCGGUCUCACCUAGACCCUGCCCUAUGCUGGAGGCCAUGCAGUGAUCUCACCACUAGGAUUGUGGCCACUGAAGAGGGUCAAGCCACCGAGCCGACAGGAGCAGACUCCGAGGCAUUUCCUCCACAAAAUAAUUUGGCCAUGAAGGAGCUUUUCGGGGAGACCUUUGUGAGCAAGAACACAGGCAAGACUUUUGCAACACCAUCAAAGAGGAGGCAUCCUACAAGGCAGCAAGUGGCGUUCCACUGGAUGGUGAUCCACUGACAUGGUGGAAAAGCAAUGAGUGUAAAUACCCUCACAUUGUCAUGAUGGCAAGAUGCUGCCUGGCACUUCAGUUCCUAGCGAUAGGGUGUUCUCCACGGCAGGGGACAUAGUGACUGCAAAGAGGUCUACCCUCUCCCCAGACUAUGUAGACAUCCUCAUCUUUUAGAAAAAUAAUCUGAAGUUAAGCUCAGGUCUGCUUUGCUUUCUUUCUUGACUUUUUUUUGAUGACGUGGACACAGGCUAUUUUUUUCAUUCACUGUUCAAAGGAAGAAGGUAUGAUGCCUCAUACUGCACUUUAUUUUAUUUAUACCUUAAAGUUUGUUUCUUUAAGUGUUCUUUAAGUAAUAAAUGGAAAGCAAAGUUA